rnacentral:rRNA from 1 species
ACACUCCUGCGGGAGGCAGCAGUGGGGAAUAUUGCACAAUGGGCGCAAGCCUGAUGCAGCCAUGCCGCGUGUGUGAAGAAGGCCUUCGGGUUGUAAAGCACUUUCAGCGGGGAGGAAGGCGAUACGGUUAAUAACCGUGUUGAUUGACGUUACCCGCAGAAGAAGCACCGGCUAACUCCGUGCCAGCAGCCGCGGUAAUACGGAGGGUGCAAGCGUUAAUCGGAAUUACUGGGCGUAAAGCGCACGCAGGCGGUCUGUCAAGUCGGAUGUGAAAUCCCCGGGCUCAACCUGGGAACUGCAUUCGAAACUGGCAGGCUUGAGUCUUGUAGAGGGGGGUAGAAUUCCAGGUGUAGCGGUGAAAUGCGUAGAGAUCUGGAGGAAUACCGGUGGCGAAGGCGGCCCCCUGGACAAAGACUGACGCUCAGGUGCGAAAGCGUGGGGAGCAAACAGGAUUAGAAACCCUAGUAGUCCCAUGA